UCGGAAAAAAACACGUGCCCGUCACUCGCCCCCUCGUCUCCCUUUCUUCUCACCGGCUCACCGCGCAGUCGCGCACUGCCGCCGCAUAGCGCCGCCCCUACCUCCCCAAACGCGCAAACCCUAAACCCACCGAUCCCCUCUGUUCGAUCUUCCCAUAAUCCCACCUCGCCGGGCGCCGGCCGCCGAUUGGCCGCCGCCAUGGCCUUGCCGGCGCCGCCGAUACUCGACCCCCAGGCGUUGGGGUCGCUACCGACCCUCACCGAUGAGAUCCUUGAGGAAAUCUUCCUCCACCUGCCCACCCCGGCCGACGUGGCCCGCGCCUCCGCCGCCUGCACCCCCUUCCGCCGGAUCAUCACCGCCCGCUCCUUCCUCCGCCGCUUCCGCACCAUCCACCCACCGCCUCUCCUGGGCUUCGCCGCCUACGAGGGAUUUCACCCCGCGCAGCCGCCCCACCCCUCCGCGCCGCUUGCUCGCGCCUUCGCCGACGCCGCCGACUUCUCCUACUCCUUCGUGCCCCCCGGGAGGUGGCCCACGCCCUGGCGUCCCCGCGACGUUCUCCAGGGCCGUGUCCUCCUGGAGUGCACCCCUGAUUGCGACCCCGGGUUUGAAUACUACGCCACCGUCUUGCUGAGGGAUCUCGACCUCGCGGUGUGUGAUCCCUUAUCCCGGCGAUACAGCCUGCUCCCUAGCAUACCCAAAACCCUAAGGGGUCAGCACAAGCACCUCAUUGAUUUCGGUGUUUUCUUCGCUCCUACCGGUGAAGAUGAGGACGAGACAGCAUUCAGAGUGGUAUGUGUGGCGUGUAAUAAAACUAUGGUGGUUGUGUUUGAAUUUUCCUCCAUCACUGGACAAUGGCACAUCCCUGCAUAUCUCAGCUGUAGUUCACUGGGCACUGUCAUGCCCGACAGCCGGUACAGCUCCUCCUGUCGUGAUCAUGAGCAGGGUCGCUUCUACUGGAUGGUGCCUUGGAGGAACAAAUUGCUUGUGCUUGAUGUGUUCAGUAUGGAGAUAUCCAUUGUCAACAGCAAUCUGGCUAACUACCAUAUGCAUGACAGUGGGAAGCCUCUCAUUGUACUGGGUAGAGAUAGAACCCCUGAGGUGUUUUUUCUUGCUGAUUGCUUUGGGGAUGGCCCAACUGACAUAAUUCGCAUCACAAAGGAAAAUGGCAGUGGAUCUUCAGAUGCAUGGCAACUCGAAAAUAUGAUAUCAUUGCCAACCCAGUAUAACUAUUUCACCUUGGGUGCAGCUGAGGGAUUCUUAUUCCUUCGUGGCACUCUGCAAGAUCAGAACUCAGAGUAUUCGUCGGGUUACUCGUCGGAGGACUCUUCGGAGAACUCAGCACACCUGUCGGCAGAAGCUCCAGAUGUUGAAUAUUUGUCACUUGAUGUCAAGACUUCUGAACGUAAGAAGGUCUGUGUGAUGAAGCGGUACUUCCACACUGUCUUCUCAUACUUUGGCUACCCACCACCAUUGGCAAAACCAACUAUAUAAACUGACUGCUACCAGUUGCUGUUGCUACUUAUACAUGGUCCAUGACAGACCCAUAAUCGCGCCAAACUCAUGGCAAUUCUUGAGAUGGGAUUAAUGUACGUGCUUUUGGGCCCUCAGUUUGAACACUCAUCUGAUGUUUGCAAGGAGGAAUGGAGGGUGGUCAUGAUGGGGCGGCACUUCAUGAUGGACCCUUAGUGAUUUAGUAGUCGUCAAAAACUUGUUGUAGUUUACUUGCGUCCGCAUGACUAAAUGCGAUAAUGCGAAUCAUGUCGUGUCAAGGUCAAUCGGUUUGAACACUAAUCGUGCAUGCUUUGUGGUUCUGUUGACCUGUUAUGGUUACUUCUGGAUGGAAUUCUCUUUUGAGUUUGAAA